GAUCAAGUGUCUUAAGGGCAAUUGGUGGAUGCCUUGGCAUGCACAGGCGAUGAAGGACGUGAUACGCUGCGAUAAGCUACAGAUCGGAAGAGCACNAGCUACGGGGAGGUGCGAAUACCCUUUGAUCCGUAGAUUUCCGAAUGGGGAAACCCACCUAAGGUGCUUGGAAAAUCAGAGUAGCAGGGAUGCGACGAUCUCUCUGAGAUCGUGCCGUCUUGCUGCUGUGGUUUCCAAGUAUCUGUUAUAGGUAACUUAUCCUGAAUACAUAGGGAUAAAGUGGCGAACGCGGGGAACUGAAACAUCUAAGUACCCGUAGGAAAGGACAUCAACCGAGACUCCGGAAGUAG
rnacentral:ncRNA from 1 species